rnacentral:ncRNA from 2 species
ACAUUCGCGCAGAAUUUUGGUUCUGAGGCACUUUUCGAAGUGUUGAGGAUUAAAAGGGAAUCAGGUGAAGAAUUUAUGUUGACAAUCAAUACUAAAUUUAGGAAUCCUGAGCUGUUCCCGCAACUGUAAGCUAAGCCGAUGAUCUAGAUCGGUGUUUGUUAUUACUACUACAAUAGAGCCACUGUCGUUUACCAAGGUAACGAUGGGAAGGUAAAUAACAAGACGCAAGCCAGGAGACCUGCCAAUAUUCAACAGUAUCA